rnacentral:tRNA from 1 species
GCCGCUGUAGCUCAGUUGGUAGAGCAGUUGAUUCGUAAUCAAUAGGUCGGGCGUUCGAUUCGUCUCAACGGCACCA